GAAAUGCGAAAAGUAAUGCGAAUUGCAGAAUUCAGUGAAUCAUCGAAUCUUUGAACGCACAUUGCGCCCCUUGGUAUUCCAUGGGGCAUGCCUGUUCGAGCGUCAUUUGUACCCUCAAGCUCUGCUUGGUGUUGGGUGUUUGUCCCGUCUCCGCGCGUGGACUCGCCCCAAAGUGAUUGGCAGCCGGCGUACUGGUCCCGGAGCGCAGCACAUGUCGCGCAAACGAGUGCCUUGCUACGGCGGCGUCCAUAAGCCCCUCUCUCACGCUCUUGACCUCGGAUCAGGUAGGGAUACCCGCUGAACUUAAGC
rnacentral:misc_RNA from 1 species